AAUCAACGCUGGCGGCGUGCCUCAGACAUGCAAGUCGAACGCGAAAGUCCCCUUCGGGGGACGAAGUAGAGUGGCGCACGGGUGAGUAACACGUAGGUAAUCUACCUUCGGAGUGGGGAAGUAACAACCGGAAACGGUUGCUAAUACCGCAUAAUGCAGCGGCACCUAAUGGUGACAGUUGUUAAAGCGGGGGAGUCGAAAGACCUCGCGUCUGAAGAGGAGCCUGCGGCGGAUUAGCAGUUGGUAAGGUAACGGCUUACCAAGGCGACGAUCCGUAGCCGGCCUGAGAGGGCGGUCGGCCACACUGACACUGACAUACGGGUCAGACUCCUACGGGAGGCAGCA
rnacentral:rRNA from 1 species